AAAAGGAGCUGGUGUUCCGGGUUCGAUUCCCAGGGCUGACUCGAGAAACGCCGCUUCCCUCGACCGAUCUAGAUUGAGAAGGAACGAAGGCGCCUA